GGGCCUGUGGUCUAAUGGCAUGACCUCUCACUUGCAAUGAGAAGACUCUGGGUUCAAAUCCCAGCAGGUCCA
rnacentral:tRNA from 1 species